rnacentral:rRNA from 3 species
AAAUUGAAGAGUUUGAUCAUGGCUCAGAUUGAACGCUGGCGGCAGGCCUAACACAUGCAAGUCGAGCGGCAGCGGGAAAGUAGCUUGCUACUUUUGCCGGCGAGCG